rnacentral:rRNA from 1 species
UGGGGAAUAUUGCACAAUGGGCGCAAGCCUGAUGCAGCCAUGCCGCGUGUGUGAAGAAGGCCUUCGGGUUGUAAAGUACUUUCAGCGGGGAGGAAGGGAGUACAGUUAAUACCUUUGCUCAUUGACGUUACCCGCAGAAGAAGCACCGGCUAACUCCGUGCCAGCAGCCGCGGUAAUACGGAGGGUGCAAGCGUUAAUCGGAAUUACUGGGCGUAAAGCGCACGCAGGCGGGUUGUUAAGUCAGAUGUGAAAUCCCCGGGCUCAACCUGGGAACUGCAUCUGAUACUGGCAAGCGUGAGUCACGUAGAGGGGGGUAGAAUUCCAGGUGUAGCGGUGAAAUGCGUAGAGAUCUGGAGGAAUACCGGUGGCGAAGGCGGCCCCCUGGACGAAGACUGACGCUCAGGUGCGAAAGCGUGGGGAGCAAACAGG